UACGAAGGGGGCUAGCGUUGUUCGGAAUUACUGGGCGUAAAGCGCACGUAGGCGGACAUUUAAGUCAGGGGUGAAAUCCCGGGGCUCAACCCCGGAACUGCCUUUGAUACUGGGUGUCUCGAGUCCGGAAGAGGUGAGUGGAAUUCCGAGUGUAGAGGUGAAAUUCGUAGAUAUUCGGAAGAACACCAGUGGCGAAGGCGACUUACUGGACACAUAUUGACGCUGAGGUGCGAAAGCGUGGGGAGCAAACAGG
rnacentral:rRNA from 1 species